AAUGAGUGCCUCAGCCUUGCAGGAACCUGCCUACCAGGCACUUGCCAGAACCUCGAGGGCUCCUUCCGCUGCAUCUGUCCCCCUGGCUUCCAGGUGCAGAGUGAUCACUGCAUUGAUAUCGACGAGUGCUCAGAGGAGCCCAACCUCUGCCUCUUUGGCACCUGUACCAACAGCCCUGGGAGCUUCCAGUGCCUCUGCCUACCUGGCUUUGUCCUCUCUGACAAUGGGCACCGUUGCUUUGACACACGGCAGAGUUUCUGCUUCACCCGUUUUGAGGCUGGGAAGUGCUCGGUGCCCAAAGCUUUCAACACCACCAAGACCCGCUGCUGCUGCAGUAAGAGGCCUGGGGAGGGCUGGGGAGACCCCUGCGAACUGUGUCCCCAGGAGGGCAGUGGUGAGUGCCCACCCCUGUCCAGGCUCCCUGGAUGAUGUGCCCUCACCUUCCUGUCUCAUUCUUCUCUCAUCCUUCCCUGCACACACCUGGGGGCUGCACCUAGGCCCUGAC
rnacentral:lncRNA from 1 species